rnacentral:lncRNA from 1 species
CGUUGCUGCUCAUGUCUCUUACUAUACUCUCCUCACCCCCAAAUACUUCUUUUAAUGAUUAUAAACGAUAAAAUAUUCAGUUGGGUGCUGGAAGAAAAAUUGAUGGGCAACUUAUAGAGAGCAGAGAGGUUGUUGAGUUCUUGGACUUUUAAGUGACACUUUGUUCGUUGGAUUGGGGUACUUAUAUAGAGAAAUAACAGAGAGAUGUUAAAAAGGAGGAAUUAAUUAAAAAAAAAAACUGGGGUUCUGUUUGUUUUUCGGGAAAGUGAAACCAUUCGUGGGUUUGGAUCCCAGGCCUAUGGACAGAGAGAUGCUGGUUUUUUUUUUUUUCAAAAAAUAAUUCAAUGGGUGGUGACGAAUGACGAAUGAAAGCUAAGCUUUACUAUAAAAAAAAAAUAAUAAUAACGAAAGACAAGUGACAAAUGGCUGCUGAGCGUAGUAAUGACUAUACGGUUUUGCUGACUUUGUGGGCAAGUACUUUUCAUAAGCACAUGGUUAUCCUUACAGAUUCUGUAACAUACGCACCCAAUGCAUGCACCACACCUGUCCUGCAUAUGGAGAAAAAAGGUGCAAUUAUUUUUAUUUGGUAGCUAGCUAACCAAUCAAAAACUGGCUAAGUUGGAUCUGUAUGUUACAGAAUCUGUAACUUAGCCAGCUCCGCGGUUAUAUAUGUAUACUUACACGAACAACUUUUCUAUUGACGCUUUUGAUCCGCGUCGGCUUUCGGAAUAUGAGAUGUAAUUGAAGCUGGAACUUUUUCUAGAGUGAAAGAGAGGGCUACAAUUACCAUAUUGCCACCAAGAUUAAAUUAUGAAAUAAAUAUUGUAUUGUAGCAAUUUGCCUCCUUUAUUGAAUUAUUGUAAUUGGAAAUUUAUGAUUCUGCAAUCAGUAUUGUCCAAAUAUCACUCAAAAUAAUAGAGAAGAAUCGCAGAGGAUUCAAAUAUUGAAAGUAUUCAGUCUCCACAAUUUACGUUAACUUACUAUUAAAUGCAAUCCGUAGUUUAUGCACGAGAACAGCAUAGUGCAGCUCAGUGGCGGACCUACACCUGGGCACUAGUCCAGAAAAAAUCAUUUAAAUAAUAUAAUUUUGAUUAAUUUAUUUAUGGAUAGAAUUUCUAUUUUAUUUUUAUAUAUGUCCCUAACUUAGUUACCCUUAUGUUUUAUCAAUUUCAUAUAAUAAUAGAAUUUUUAUUUUAUUUUCAAAUAUGUCCCUAACUCAAUUAUAUUAUUUUUCCAACUGAAAUUGGCGACUCAUUUUAUAAAAUGAUUAAAUUAUAUAUUUAUUGAAUGGAUUGAAAACGCUAGGGGUCUAAAAGGUUAUUACUGCUUUAAUCUAUUUUUAAAAAAUUCCAAUUGAAAAGAAAGUAUGUUAAUAUAAUAUAGCAUCGUUACUAGUAUCAAAAUAACUUGAAAAAAACAUAUAGUAACAAUUAUCAACAUUUUUAUAAAUUUUUUAUGUAAAUUUUGAUAUUUUAUUAUUAGAUACGUUAACUAAGAGGACAAGUUAGAAAAUAAAAUUUGAGUAUUUUGAAUAGUUUUUUUAAUAGAAGAAUCAUCAACAUCUAAUUUUUCAAAGAGAGUCAAAGUGCCUCUGGCAAACAAAUAACGGCACCCAAAUACUUUUUUAUUGGGUUGAAUUUAGUUUAGUAUUUAAAAUUUUGACUAAUAAUAUUUUUAAAAUUUAAAAUGAUGAAUAAAUUUUAAUUGUUUAAUUUAUUUAAGCCUGAUAAUUAAGUACUUUUCAAAUAUAAAAGUUCUACUUACAAUUUUUAAUUGAUUGUAAUUACAUACGAUAAAGAAUACAUCUUUUUGUUAAUAAUGAAAAAAUGAAAUGCAAAAUAACUAAUUAAUUGGGAGCCUAGCAAAUAUCCCUCAUUUGUUUUAAUAUUAUUCAUCUCAUCUCCAUUAACCCUCUUGAUAGCCUCAUUAUUGUUAUUGUUAUUAACGCCACCAACUUCAAUUACCAAUUUGCCACCAAUAUUAAAUUACGAAAUAUUGUUGCAAUUUCCCUCAUUGUUUUAAUUAUAUGAUGGCAAAAUUUAUGAUUCUAUUUUUAAUAUAGUCCGAAAAUCAGUCAAAAUAGAAGAAUGUCGUUAUUCAGUUAGUACCCACAUUUUACUUUACAACAUUAUACCCUAAUAAUCUUUGUUUUUUUUUUAAUCGUGAAUUAUUUUUAAAAAAAAUAAUUAAAAGUACAUAGAUGCUCUUUCAUUCACCUUUAUAUUUCAAUUAUCACAAUUCACAAGAUAUAUAUCACCUAUGAAUAAAAGAAUAGUAAUAAAAAUAAUUACAUCAAUAGCUAGUUUUAAAUUUAAAAAGUCUAAUUCAAAUUUUGUCAAUCAAAUAAUACGUUUCAGACCUUUGGAUUUGAGUUCCAUUUUUUUUUUUUUUGGUGAAAUGAUUUGUUGUAGUUGAUGGUCUCUUAGUUAUUGCUGAUGAUCUCUUAGUUUUUGCAUUCGCAGUACCAGCAAAAAGAAAAAGAACCAACAUAAUAAAAAUAAAAAGUAAAAAUAAAAAAGAUUUCAUGCCACCAUGAAGAUAUGUCAUAUUGUGUGUUACGUCAUUUGUGAAAGCAUAAAGGAGAGGUUAAAGUAGAGAAAUGUGGAUUUGAUUUUGUUUAAGGAUAGUUUUUUUUAAGAGGUAUGCGAAAAGAUAAAUUAGAUUCAUAAAUAUUUAAUAGUAUUUUUUCAAAAGAGAGCAUAUUUUUCAUUAAAGAAGUAUAACAGCAUUACAAUGACAUAAAGUCAUGAUUCAUUCAACAUACAUACAUAAGAUCACAUACAAAGCUCAUCUUUUUUAGCUGAGCUUUUAAUGGUCGCCUAAAAAUAAAAGGGCUUUGAUUUCCUCAAUGCAUAUGAAUUGAUAAAGUGAAUUAUCUGAAAGUAACUAGAAAAGGGCUUUUGAUUUCCUUAAUGCAUAUGAUUUUAUAAAGUAAAUUAUCAGUAGCCAGAGCCAUGGCUGAGUAGAGUUGGAUUUAUUUCUUAACUCAAUCAGUUAAAGUUCUUUUAGUAGAGAUAAUAAUAGAUCUAUGUAUGAAGAUGUUCAUUUUAUUGAUGAAUUCUUUACAGAGUAUGAAUUUUCACCAUUAUUGUUGUGCUCUCCAAGUAAUUGAGAGUAGAUCUCUAAUGGUAUGAUUGUGUAGCCCCAGAUGUAACCGUUAAAUCAGCCUUGACUGUACUUUGUACUGUAUGUACAACGUCUGCAGAGAUCAGUUUGUGUUCAAAUGCCCAGCUCCUGGCAUUUUACUUCAUCAACAAGGCACCUAUAGCUUGUCUCAUAAGUUUCUUCUCUAAGGUGGUUAAUUAAACAGUUUCGGGCUUCCUUGCAUUUGUUCUUAAGUUUGUCUAUUCGGCUGGAGUGAGCUGAGGCCCGUGUUGUUCUUUUCUAUACAAUUAUGUGAACGACUUUGCAAUGGGCUAUCUCUUGAGGGGGGAGGUAAAAAGAAAAUUUCUACGGGCCAAGGACAAUUCAAUAGAGGAAUUUAGGUUAUGUUUGGUUUGAAGAAAAUGGAGGAGAGGAAAAGAGUGGAAUGGAGCGAAAGGGAGAAGAACGGAAUGGAGAAAAAUAGUGAAAUUAGAUUUUUGUUGUUUGGUUUGAUAUAAAAUUUGAUAAAGAAAGGAAUUAUAAUUUUUUUUAAAACAAAUUUAUCUUUUACUUUAAAAAUUAAACUAUUUAUGUUAAUAAUAUAUAUAUAUAUAUAUAAUAAAAUGGCAGUCCAGUUGCCAGCGGUGAAGGUCCGGCGAUGUCCGGUGGAGGUCCAACGACUUUUUGGUGAAAGUCCGGCUACAUCCGGCGACUUUCCGGCGGAGGUCUGGUGGAGGUCCAACGACUUCCCGGCAAAAGUUCGGCUACAUCCAGCGACUUCCCAGCAGAGGUCCAUUUAUAAUAUUAAAUCAAUAAAAUAACAUUAUAAAUAAUUAUUAUUACUAGCAUUAAACAAGUUAAAAAGUUGAAGGGUAAUUUUAAUUUUAAAAACUUUAGUUUAUACCAUAAGAGAAAUUUAAAUUCUUCAUUACUAGGUGAAGAAUUCAAAUUCUAUAUUACGAUGGAUAUUAAAUUCUAAUGGAAAUUAAAUUCUUAUAAAUUUUGUCAAACCAAACAAUGAAAAUAAAAAGAGAAUUUAAAUUAUUUUCCUCUCCUCGAUACUCUCCUCCCAACCAAACACCACCUUAAAGUAAUUUUUCUAAAUUUAACAGUACCAUAAAUUUUGUAUAACAAUGGAUAAUUUGAUGCUUCAAGAAAGCAAUAGCUAACAAGAGAAAAAAAGAAGUGAAAUGAUAGUCCAAGAAAUCCCAUUGAAUAGUAUAUCUGUUUACCCAUGGACGGCGCUGGCAACAGUGCCGUUUCUUCUGCUGAAACACUCAAAAGCAAUGACACAAAACACUGCCACCACAAACAUCAAAACAACUCCCUUCAACGUUGCUACAAUUUUUAACAAAUGAAUUAGGCAUUGUUCAAUAGUGUGGUUGGACAAUUAUAUCUUAAAAAUUACAAAAUUAAAGCAUUUAGUAAAUACCUAUAAAUGUGGUUUAGAUGUUAAAUUCUUUUAUUUAGCACUUGUAUGAUAAAAAAAAAAUAUCUAUCAUAUUUCUUACAAUUUUUAUCAAAAUAUUUAUUUAAAAAUGAUAUUCACAAUACACUAAUAACUUUUAUUUCAUAGUUACAAUUUUUUUUUACCGUAACUGUAAUUUUUAACUUACAGCACCUCAAUACCAAACAAAGACUUAGAAUACGCUAUAAGUGUCAAAAGCGGAAUCUUUAGCCCUAUAUCCAUCUUUAGUCUUUUCUUCUAUUAUAUGUUAGCUUAUCUUGCUCUCCACGCAAAUUGUUCAAAAAGUUAAAGCCAUUACUAUUACUCUAGUAAUAGUCACUAAGAGUUCUAUUAUAGAAUUUGAAUGUGAGAAAAGAACAGUUAUACCCUCAAAUUUUGAAAAAAUGGUCGUAGAGAACCCUAAUUUUUUUUAAAUUGAUGUUAAGACUUCCUUUUAACUAUAAUACUCUUUUGAUAGAGUAAUUAAAAAAUAGACUUUAAAUUUUCUUAAUAAAUAUAAACUCAAUAUAAAUAAUAUAAUCUUUCUAGUAAACUAAUAAUAUUAGUAUGUUUUUAAUAUCUAAAACAAUUUAAAUGUGUAAAUUAUUACAUUUAUUUUAAUAAUAUUUUUGUAUUUAUUAUAAAGAUUUUAAAUAAAUAAUUAGGUAUUAGAUGGAACCAUAAUAUUUACUAUAAAUCACUAUAACAAUUUUUUUUUUUUUUUUGUAAAUCCUUAUACGUACGUAAAUCCUCAAAAUAUACUUAACUUACUUGUUGUAUAUGUUGUUUUUCAUUGAUCAUCUUUUGAUUUCUUUGUUCGAGCAUGAAUUCGAGGGAAAAAAAAUUAUCUUAACUUUUAGACAAAUAAAUAAACUAUCUUAAUUUUUAAGAGAAGUCACAUGAAACAUCAGGUAUCCGUAGGCAACUGCGAGUCUGAAUGUAAUAAAUGGAACAUCUCAAGUUUGAUUAGGAAGUCACUUCCUUUCUCCACGUAAGAUUCCUAGUGAUGAAAGAGGACAUUGCUUUCUAAGUAAGACGUGGGUCUCAACGGAUCAUAGCUUUCGUUUUGCAUUUUAGCCCAAGUUGCAUUUGUUGUGCAGAUAAAAUAGGUUGUUGAAUAAAAAAGUAAUUUAGUGUUUGGUAAAUUAUAUUACUGUGAGUUUAAAAAAUAAUGUACGGUUAGCAAAUUUUUAAAGUAUUGUUUUAUUAGGUAAUGACCAAAAUAAACGUAAUUUUAAAUUAUUUUUAUUUUUUAGAGUAUAUUUAAUAAUUUUUAGACAUUUCUUUUUCUUUUUAAAAUACAUAAAGUUACAUAAAGUAAAAAAAAAAUCAAUUAUAUAAAAUUUAAGGAACUUCAUAAUAUGCUACAUAAAAUAUGAUAAAAAUUCAUAUCAAUACAUAAUCCAAAUAAAAAUAAAAAAGUAAUAUGUAUUACAUUCAUAUUUAACUUAUUGCAAUAAACACUUUGUAUGUAGAAAAAAUAUAUAUGAUUGAAUGUUAAAAAUCAAUAGUUAUGAAAUUGAUUUUAAAAGUUGUGGUUAAAUUCCAUUCAAAAUUGUUCAUAGUUUAAAGAAAAUUUACGUAAUCAUAUGUAUGUAAGUCUUAUUAAAUUUUAUAAUAGAAGAUAAAAGUAAAAUAUGAAAAAUAUAAAUUUACCGGAUCAAAACUUUAAAAUUGUAAAGGUAAUUUGAUUAUACUUGUAAUAUGAUAUCUAAUGACUUAUACAUUAGGUAUAUGAAAAAAUAGGACAUAGUUAUCUUUUUGUUAAAAUAUUAAGGUUAUAACAGAAAAUUUUCAAAAGAAUGAUGACUUAUUGAAUAAGUUGUUUAUGAAAAACAAUCAUCUACUUAUUUUUAAAAAUUGUUAUUAAAAUAAAAAAAUUAUAAAAUAAGUAAAUUUUAUAAUUUUUAUCAAAAAUUAUGAAAUAAAAAUUUUAUUAAAUUUGGCCACAAUCGGGGUCUUAGCAUGGCAAAUUUAGUAAGUGAUUAGUGUUUUUUUCCUUGAAAUAAAAAUUAAAUAAAUAAUUAAAAGCUUGUUUAGAAAAGAAAAAAAUAAAUAAAUGAAAAUUAGUUUUGUACUUUCUGGCAAGUCACGUGAAAACUGAAAGUCAGUAGCCAAGCAAGUCUUUCAAGGCAAUCGAAAGAGUCGUCCAUCCCAAAGACUCAGAUCUUGGCCGUUGAAUGUUUCUACAAAUACGUGAGAUUCAUAGUCCGACUGCAAAAGUAAAACCGCUUUCCUUCUCCAAUUAUGAGAAGGUGAGACCAAAGCAGGACCCACCAAAGCAAAUAUAAAUGCCACAGAGAUUUGCUCUAAUUUGCAAUCGUGAAGAGAAGAACAGCCUACUAAAACAAUGGCCUACUCGCCCACAACAUUGCUUCAGGAUUUUGUUCCUUUUGCCGGGGUUCGCACUUUAGAAAGAUCGGCUACAGUUCCUUGGCGUACGCUUCCCCCUAAAAAAUAUUCAAUUCGUUUCUCCAACUCCAAGCGGCGCUGGAAAUCGGCAUCGGCAUCGGCUGCGGUUUCAGAUAAACGUAGCAAGUGCAAUCCUUUGCUUAUGCUGCCGCCCAAAAACGGUUCCAUUAGUUUCUUGGAUCUUGCGAAGGGCAGCAGCAGCAGCCUCCUCCGAGUAAAUUUACCUGAAGAUCCUUACCCUGAAAAGUAUGAAAACGGUAGGUACUUUUCUUCACGGGGUUGGCUUAUUAAAUUUAUCGAUUCAUGCAUCAGUCCCAAUUAUAUGACUCUUGUGCAUCCUUUUUCACGCCUUCAACUUAAACUGCCUUCCAUCGAAACCUUGGUAGCUUCUGAUCCGUAUGAGCAUAAUCGGCAUUGUGAAGAGGGUUGCUUUAUUACUUUCAUAUUAACCAAAUGCGUAUUAUCUUCGUCCAACCCCGAUUCAUUACAAGCCAUGCUUCUUUACGGAAGAGACGGGAAUUUGGGCUGCGCUAGGCCAGGCGAUCAAGUUUGGAGAAAAAUUAACACGUCUAAUAAUGCUAAACAUUUUGUUGAUGCUAUUUACUUCCAAAAUCAAUUUUAUGCUAUCAAUGCUUUUGGUCAAAUAUUUGCCGUCAAAGAUGAUGACAGUACUGCUACACGAAUCGCGGAAUUACCUGCCGAAUUUAUUGAAGAUGUUGUGGAGUAUUUGUAUAUGGUUGAGUCUGAAGAUGGCACAUUAUUUGUGGUUUCAAGGAGGGGAGUACAAGUACCACCUACUCAUCUAGGCUACCUAACGGAGGAGAACACUUUCAGAACGUUGGGGUUUCAGGUUUUUGAGGUCGAUCUAAGUACUAAUAAAUGGUCGAAGAUCCAGAAUUUGGGUAACAGAUCCCUCUUUUUGGGUUUUAAUUCUUCACUGUCUGUUGACGCAUCAAGUAAUUCUCAGUGUAAACCCAAUUGCAUAUAUUUCACUGAUGAUUUUGUCGACUCUUAUUGGUACCUGGCCGCCGAGGAAUACGUUGAAGCAGGAGGUAAAGAUACUGGAAUUUAUAACAUGAAGGAUGGAAGCAUUGAGCCAUUCUUUGAGACCGAUCCCUUCCAUCCAUUUAAUCCACUUAUGUGGCUUGAACAAUGGUCUUAGUCGUUGGGUUUGGUCUUCAGUUUUCAUUUCAAUUACUUUAGAGUUUCGGUAUAUCAUUGUCCCUGUUUUAAAUAGAUUAAUUUGGAAUGACAUUUGUUUUAUGUUUGGUUUCGUUGACUACUUUAAUGCUUGGUUUAUUGGAAUUAAUUUUGUUCGUGAUUUGCCUCCAAUUACAAGGUAUUAACCAUCCUAGUUUCUAUCAACGUGCAGCCAAUCAAAAUAUCUUCCUAGAAAAUAGAACUGAGCAUUGCAAAAAAACCAUUACUCCAUAUUUUAAUCUUAUAGUGCCAAAAAAUUUGCAUUACUAGGUCUUCUCUUACAAAUGUGUUGAUCAAAUACUUCGUAACAAUAUCUAAGAGACACAUAUGUCUCAUUACUGCUAAAAAAUUAUUUUUUUAAUAAUAUUAUGAUUCUGUUUGGGAUUAGUAAAAGUUGGCCGCUAGUUGUUUGGAAGAUAUAUUAAUAUGAUUUUUUACUUUUAUAAUGAAACAUAUAUUAUAUUUUUAAAAAUUAUUUAAAAGUUAUAUUUAUUAUAUACUAUUAACUUUUAUUUUAUAAUUAUAGUUUUUUUUAAAUAGUUGUAAUUUAAAAAUUAUCGCAUUUCAAUCACAAAGAGGACCUAUAUUAGGUAAUUAUUGAAUAAGAAAUAAUAUGUAGUUAUAUCUAAUUAUACAUUAUUAUAAAUAGAAAAAUGAUAUUGAUAUUUUGCCUGAAAUUCGAUUUACUAAAUUUCUUUUGCCAACACCGAGUUUCUUUUGUCUGGACAAUUACUGUGGCAGGACCAUCUCCCAAUUCGGAGGAUGAUUGUUUAAUUAAUUUAGAUAAUUUUAAUACAUGAAAUUUCACAAUGUCAUUAUUCUUUUCGUUUACUCUUCUAUUUUCUUAUCAUGCCUUCGGGGUUCCUGAAAUCUAAACAUUUAAUCCACAACUAUACUUUUACAGGCAGUAAAUCCACUGUUUACAAUAUCAUUCACAAAACGAAGACUUUUUACUCUACUCGUUGCUAAGCUUUAAUUUAUUUUAUUUUUUUAAUCUUCUAUGAUAAAUUUAUUGAAAUUACUAAAAUAUCCAUCAAAUUAUAUAUUUUACAUCAAAUUUUUAGUAUACCUAAAUUGAGUUGAAAUUCUAGAUUGUUUCUAAUAGAAAAUUAUGGAAGGAUGUUUGGAUGUGAAUGACCUUUUUUUUUUAAUGCCUAAAUAUCGGAGCUAAUAUUUAUGUUUAAAUAAAAAUCAUUUGAAAUUGAAAAUCCAAUACAUUGAAAGCAUAUGAUUUAUUUCCAUAAGCACCAAGAUUCCUAUAAUAAAGAUAAACCAAUACAUCUCUUUCUCUCCCGUAUGAUUUUUUUUUUAAAUAAUGAAGAAAAAGAAGAAAUACAAAUAAUAAAUUAAUUGGGUCCCCAGCAAAUUAGGUGGAAGAGCAUCUCAGCCUUCUCUUGUUGCCUCCUUUUUUUCUUGAUCUCAUCUCCAUUAAACCUCUUGAUACCCUGACUGUUAUUAUUAUUACUAACGCCACCAGCAAGACUCCUUACAAUAGAAUUAUUGUUGCCCUUAUUAUAGCCACAAGAUUCUUGCAGCACAUACUUGAUGAAUGCUGAAUCAAACUUGCAAACUCUACCACCGUUGCUGCUCAUGUCUCUUGCUACACUCUCCUCACCCCAAAACACUUCUUUUAAUGAUUAUAAACGAUAAACUAUUAAGUUGGGUUCCGGAAGAAAAAUUGAUGGGCAACUUAUAGAGAGUAGAGAGGUUGUUGAGUUCUUGGACUUUUAAGUGACACUUUGUUCGUUGGAUUGGGGUACUUAUAUAGAGAAAUAAUAGAGAGAUGUUAAAAAGGAGGAAUUAAUUAAAAAAAAAAACUGGGGUUCUGUUUGUUUUUCGGGAAAGUGAAACCAUUCGUGGGUUUGGAUCCCAGGCCUAUGGACAGAGAGAUGCUGGUUUUUUUUUUUUUUUUGGUUUCAAAAAAUAAUUCAAUGGGUGGUGACUAAUGACGAAUGACAAAUGGCUGCUGAGUGGAGUGAUGACUAUACGGUUUUGCUGACUUUGUGGGCAAGUACUUUUAAUAUGCACAUGGUUAUAUACUAACACGGAUAACUUUUCUAUUGACGUUUUUGAUCCGCUGUCGGCUUUCGGAAUAUGAGAUGUAACUGAAGCUGGAACUUUCCAGAGUGAAAGAGAGGGCUACAAUUACCAUAUUGCCAUCAAGAUUAAAUUAUGAAAUAAAUAUUGU